UGGGGAAUUUUGGACAAUGGGCGAAAGCCUGAUCCAGCAAUGCCGCGUGUGUGAAGAAGGCCUUCGGGUUGUAAAGCACUUUUGUCCGGAAAGAAAUCCUUGGCUCUAAUACAGUCGGGGGAUGACGGUACCGGAAGAAUAAGCACCGGCUAACUACGUGCCAGCAGCCGCGGUAAUACGUAGGGUGCAAGCGUUAAUCGGAAUUACUGGGCGUAAGCGUGCGCAGGCGGUUUGCUAAGACCGAUGUGAAAUCCCCGGGCUCAACCUGGGAACUGCAUUGGUGACUGGCAGGCUAGAGUAUGGCAGAGGGGGGUAGAAUUCCACGUGUAGCAGUGAAAUGCGUAGAGAUGUGGAGGAAUACCGAUGGCGAAGGCAGCCCCCUGGGCCAAUACUGACGCUCAUGCACGAAAGCGUGGGGAGCAAACAGGAUUAGAUACCCUGGUAGUCCACGCCCUAAACGAUGUCAACUAGUUGUUGGGGAUUCAUUCCUUAGUAACGUAGCCAACGCGUGAAGUUGACCGCCUGGGGAGUACGGUCGCAAGAUUAAACUCAAUGAAUUGACGGGUCAUAGCUG
rnacentral:rRNA from 1 species